GAUGAACGCUGACGGCGUGCCUAAUACAUGCAAGUCGAGCGAACGGACGAGAAGCUUGCUUCUCUGAUGUUAGCGGCGGACGGGUGAGUAACACGUGGAUAACCUACCUAUAAGACUGGGAUAACUUCGGGAAACCGGAGCUAAUACCGGAUAAUAUUUUGAACCGCAUGGUUCAAAAGUGAAAGACGGUCUUGCUGUCACUUAUAGAUGGAUCCGCGCUGCAUUAGCUAGUUGGUAAGGUAACGGCUUACCAAGGCAACGAUGCAUAGCCGACCUGAGAGGGUGAUCGGCCACACUGGAACUGAGACACGGUCCAGACUCCUACGGGAGGCAGCAGUAGGGAAUCUUCCGCAAUGGGCGAAAGCCUGACGGAGCAACGCCGCGUGAGUGAUGAAGGUCUUCGGAUCGUAAAACUCUGUUAUUAGGGAAGAACAUAUGUGUAAGUAACUGUGCACAUCUUGACGGUACCUAAUCAGAAAACCACGGCUAACUACGU
rnacentral:rRNA from 1 species